rnacentral:rRNA from 1 species
CAAUAGCGUAUAUUAAAGUUGUUGCAGUUAAAAAGCUCGUAGUUGAAUUUUUGCUUGCCGCCGAUGUCGGAACUUCCGUACGUUCGGCGGCGUGCAUCCUUGGGUGGAACCUGUGUGGCAUUAGGUUGUCGUGCAGGGGAUGCUCAUCGUUUACUGUGAAAAAAUUAGAGUGUUCAAAGCAGGCUUACGCCGUUGAAUAUAUUAGCAUGGAAUAAUAAGAUAGGACCUUGGUACUAUUUUGUUGGUUUGCGCACCGAGGUAAUGAUUAACAGGGACAGUUGGGGGUAUUCGUAUUCCAUUGUCAGAGGUGAAAUUCUUGGAUUUUUGGAAGACGAACUACUGCGAAAGCAUUUGCCAAGGAUGUUUUCAUUAA